CUGGGGUGGUCGGGCCCGGGCCACCGGCCGAGGGUGCUUGGGGUCUUGUCGCCGGAGCCACGCGCUUCUCAGAACCCGCGUGCUGCUGCGCCGCGGCGCGAGGUUGGUCUUGUCUUCCGGAGAGACUGGCCCGAGUCCUGGACUUGACUCGCAGCCCCGCGCCGCCUGCGGCGGGAAGGGGGCGGCUCCCGCCCCAGGCGGAUCCGGGUGCGCCCCGCGCGGCUGCGCUCGCGCUCCUCCUCGAAGUCACUGGGUCCCGCAGCCCAGGGGGCGGAGGGCAAAGGAUCUCAUGUCGCUGCUGCCGCCACCCCCGAUUCGCAAUGUUUCUGCUUCCCUCCACUCUGUCCCGGGUUCCAGGGCCCUGUCUCUAGGGGCGCCCUGGGUCUUCCAGGAGUGAUCCAGAAGUUUCUUCCUGUCCUGCGUGCGCUGACCAUCGGCCCCGAGGACAGCGAUAAGAUGGCUAAAGGCUCCCGAGGCCAGUGCACUCCCAGAGCCUUGAAGACAGCAGAAGUCCUCUAAGCCCUGUGUGGUGAGAGAGGAUUUCCAGAGGAGUCAUCAGAACUGAGCGUGAAGAAGGGCUGUGUGUGACCCAAUGGAGGAUGCUGAAGAGGGCAUUCGAAGCAGAGAAGAACAUGUGCAAAGCAGGAGACGGGCAGAACAGGAGGGAUUCUAAAACAGCAGGUGUGCUGCAGAGGAAGAAGGGUGGCUGCAAACCCUGAGGAGGAAAAGGAUUAAGUUUAAAAAAAAUACACAGGAAGGAAUAAGAAGGAGAGAUACCAUAAAGAAAAUAUUAACAGGACCUGAUCACUGAGCGGUUUGGAAGGUAACAUUGGAACAUACAGGUGGCAGGUAGGGGAGAAUUUGGAGACUUUUGAAAAGAAUGUGAAAUUGGAGAGUGGGGCUCAGGUAAGUGCUGAAAACAGAUUUGGGAAUAGUUCCCAUACAGAUGGAAGAAGAGACUGCGAAGAAACUCAAUGUUUAUGGGAAUAUGAAUGAUUUCUUCAUAGGAUUCAUACACAGACAUCCAAUAUUUCUGAGCAUGGCAUAAUCCUAUUGUAUACCUCCUUCUGAUAUCUGGAAUACAACCAAUGUAUUCACAUAAUGAUCAUAAGCUAUGUCUACUAACUCUCAUGUAUCAUACCCAGUUGGUUUCUAUUCUAGAACUAUGAGGUCAGUACUUGUGAAAUGUAUAUUGAGGUCUACUAUGAAAUUUGCUUUUAUUCUCUCCACAAACAGAGCUUUUAUGUUUGUGCAAUAAAAGUUCAAGAGAUACAUAUACAUCUGGUUAAAUACUUACUGAGACAUCAAAUAUAAUGUUUAUUAGUUGAAUAUAAUGCACAUAAAUCACAUUUCCAAUAAAAUAUACAUAUGCUUUGGAAAUUAAAGAGACUAUUUUAGCAAUUAUAUAGUGAACUCUUGCUGACCUAACUUGCAAAAUAUUUAGAUAAAAUUAAGUUAUUGUCUGAUUCAUCCAUGUCUAAAAUGAUUUUACCCACAUUAAAAUAAAUCAAUGAGAUCUUUAUAAAAGGUUAUAGAUAGUACCACAAACCUAAUACCAAAAUAACCACUAAUAUAAUCUACUCUGAACCAUCCCUUAGUGAUCCGGAUGUUGCUAUUUUUACUAGGAUACCAGGUUAAACUAGACAUCUGAAAAAGACAUUCUAAUGAGAAAUUCAAAUAGCUCUUGCUACCCCUGGAAAUAUAAGAAUACUCCACCGAAGGACAUAUCCUUUCAUUUUAGGCAGUCCCCAAAGAGAGGUGCUGGUGACUAACUUAAUGACUGGGAAGAUAUUUAUGCUGAGUAUGUCUCAGGAUAUUAUAACAAUAUAUUACAGGAGAAAAGGUCUAUCAAAGUCAAUUCUACCACUUACAUUUUGAAGAAUUUAGACAUUACUAUUUAGAAUUCAUAUUUUAUUUUGUUUUCAAUAAACAAGUACUCUACUAGCCUCUGGACAUAUAACCACUACAAUAUAAUAUUUUAGUAAGGUAUAAACAGAAGUGUUUUCUGAAAAACAAAAUAGGUCAAAUCGCUGAAAGAACUAACUUGGGUUUUAAGAAGAGUUUAAUUUUCCAGGUGCUAUAACUGGAGACCUAUUGAAAUACAGUUUUACUUUCCAUAGGGUUAUUAAUGAAGGGGUAAGGCCCCAGAGACAGGGUGAGUAUCAGUAAAAAGGGCUGAAAGGACAUCAGCAUAGAGGUUCAUAGCUCCACACUACAUGCUGGGAAGGAAAAGGUGAACAGCAG
rnacentral:lncRNA from 10 species